GGGCUCAUUCCCGAGUUCCGUGCCGCAGCUAACGCAUUAAGUGCCCCGCCUGGGGAGUACGGCCGCAAGGCUAAAACUCAAAGGAAUUGACGGGGGCCCGCACAAGCGGCGGAGCAUGCGGAUUAAUUCGAUGCAACGCGAAGAACCUUACCAAGGCUUGACAUACACCGGAAACGUCCAGAGAUGGUCGCCCCGUAAGGUCGGUGUACAGGUGGUGCAUGGUUGUCGUCAGCUCGUGUCGUGAGAUGUUGGGUUAAGUCCCGCAACGAGCGCAACCCUCGUCCCAUGUUGCCAGCGGGUUAUGCCGGGGACUCAUGGGAGACUGCCGGGGUCAACUCGGAGGAAGGUGGGGAUGACGUCAAAUCAUCAUGCCCCUUAUGUCUUGGGCUUCACGCAUGCUACAAUGGCCGGUACAAAGGGCUGCGAUACCGUAAGGUGGAGCGAAUCCCAAAAAGCCGGUCUCAGUUCGGAUUGGGGUCUGCAACUCGACCCCAUGAAGUCGGAGUCGCUAGUAAUCGCAGAUCAGCAACGCUGCGGUGAAUACGUUCCCGGGCCUUGUACACACCGCCCGUCAAGUCACGAAAGUCGGUAACACCCGAAGCCCAUGGCCCAACCCUUGUGGGGGGAGUGGUCGAAGGUGGGACUGGCGAUUGGGACUAAGUCGUAACAAGGUAGCCG
rnacentral:rRNA from 1 species